CGGUAAUUCCAGCUCCAAUAGCGUAUACUAAAGUUGUUGCAGUUAAAAAGCUCGUAGUUGGAUUUCUGCGGGGACGGAGCGGCCGGACGCAACUUGCGUCUCGAGCUAGCGCUUUCCCCGCAUCCUGCCGCGAACCGUGCUACCAUUAGCUUGGUGGCGCUGGGGAUCGGCUCGAUUACUUUGAGAAAAAUAGAGUGUUCAAAGCAGGCCACACGCCUUGAAUAGGUUAGCAUGGAAUAAUGACUAAGGACUUCGGUUCUAUUUUGUUGGUGUUCGGGACUGAAGUAAUGAUUGAUAGGGACAGUUGGGGCGGUCUGUAUUCCAAAGCGAGAGGUGAAAUUCUUAGACCUUCGGAAGACAAACAGCUGCGAAAGCGUUCCGCAAGGAUGUUCCCUUUGAUCAAGAACGAAAGUUGGGGGAUCGAAGACGAUCAGAUACCGUCGUAGUCUCAACUAUAAACUAUACCAGCUAGGGAUCGGUCAACGUUUAAUCAUUCGACUUGAUCGGCACCUUAUGAGAAAUCAAAGCAUCUGGGUUCCGGGGGGAGUAUGGUCGCAAGGCUGAAACUUAAAGGAAUUGACGGAAGGGCACCACCAGCCGUGGAGCCUGUGGCUUAAUUUGACUCAACACGGGAAAACUUACCAGGUCCAGACAUAGUAAGGAUUGACAGAUUGAUAGCUCUUUCUUGAUUCUGUGGGUGGUGGUGCAUGGCCGUUCUUAGUUGGUGGAGUGAUUUGUCUGGUUAAUUCCGUUAACGAACGAGACCCCAGCCUGCUAAAUAGCGCGGUUGAGCUUUGCUCGAUGCGAGCUUCUUAGAGGGACUAUGAUGCGCGAUAGCACAUGGAAGUUUGGGGCAAUAACAGGUCUGUGAUGCCCUUAGAUGUUCUGGGCCGCACACGGGCUACACUGGCGCCUGCAACGAGCAUAUCAGCUGGCCCGAGAGGGUCUUGGCUAAUCUUUUGAACCGGCGCCGUGCUUGGGAUUGACCAUUGCAAUUGUUGGUCAUGCAACGAGGAAUGCCUUGUAAACGCGAGUCAUCAGCUCGCAUUGAAUACGUCCCUGCUCCUUGUACACACCGCCC
rnacentral:rRNA from 1 species